GAAUCAACGCUGGCGGCGUGCCUCAGACAUGCAAGUCGAACGCGAAACCUUCCUUCGGGAGGGGAGUAGAGUGGCGCACGGGUGAGUAACACGUAGGUAAUCUACCUUUGGGUGGGGAAUAACAGCCGGAAACGGCUGCUAAUACCGCAUAAUGCAGCGGCUCGACAUCGAGACAGUUGUUAAAGCGGGGGAUCGUAAGACCUCGCGCCUAAGAGGAGCCUGCGGCAGAUAGCUAGUUGGUAAGGUAACGGCUUACCAAGGCGACGAUCUGUAGCGGCCUGAGAGGGCGGUCGGCCACACUGACACUGACAUACGGGUCAGACUCCUACGGGAGGCAGCAGUCGGGAAUUUUGGGC
rnacentral:rRNA from 1 species